rnacentral:rRNA from 1 species
UACAGAGGAUGCAAGCGUUAUCCGGAAUGAUUGGGCGUAAAGCGUCUGUAGGUGGCUUUUUAAGUCCGCCGUCAAAUCCCAGGGCUCAACUCUGGACAGGCGGUGGAAACUACCAAGCUGGAGUACGGUAGGGGCAGAGGGAAUUUCCGGUGGAGCGGUGAAAUGCGUAGAGAUCGGGAAGAACACCAGCGGCGAAGGCGCUCUGCUGGGCCGACACUGACACUGAGAGACGAAAGCUAGGGGAGCGAAUGGG